GAUAAUGGCAUGAAGAUAUUAACCCUGGGCAUACAGCCAUCUCCAUAACUAGUACAACCUACUAUACACACUUCCAGAAAAGUGGAUUUGGUCAUUAUUAGGAUCCCAAUUAGCCGCUGCAAAAGCAUUUAGCUACUCUUCCUGGGGUCCACAUGAAACAUGACACAUAGUACAGAAUACAGUUAAGGACUGAAAUACACAUCUAAAAACAUCACAGUCUAUAUAUCAGUACAUACAAACUAUAUCUAGCUGUAAUACAUACAGCACAAAUUACAAUACAAGAUACAUAAAAUGUCUGUCUCUUCACAGCCCCCUUUGUGCAGUAAGGGGUUCUUUUGUCUGUGUUUUGAAACUGGUUUUAUUGCUAGUUUGAGUUACCAGAGAGUUCCAUGUAGUCAUGGCUCUAUUUAAUACUGUGUGUUUCCCAGCCUCUGUUCUGGACCUGGGCACUGUGAAGAGACCUCUGGUUGCAUGUCUUGUGUUGUACCGAUGAGGGUCCGAACUGUGAGCCAACUGCUUCAACAGACAGUUUGGUACCUUCAACACAUUAACACCAAGACCAAAAGUGAUGCAGUCAAUCUCUCCUCAACUUUGAGCCUCUGGACCAACUGCAAUUGACCUUUGUCCUUCUCUGCCGCACAUGAGCCCACAGCUGGGCAGUAGUCCAGGUGAAACUACACAUGACCCCACAGCUGGGCAGUAGUCCAGGUGAAACUACACAUGACCCCACAGCUGGGCAGUAGUCCAGGUGAAACUACACAUGACCCCACAGCUGGGCAGUAGUCCAGGUGAAACUACACAUGACCCCACAGCUGGGCAGUAGUCCAGGUGAAACUACACAUGACCCCACAGCUGGGCAGUAGUCCAGGUGAAACUACACAUGACCCCACAGCUGGGCAGUAGUCCAGGUGAAACUACACAUGACCCCACAGCUGGGCAGUAGUCCAGGUGAAACUACACAUGACCCCACAGCUGGGCAGUAGUCAAGGUGAAACUACACAUGACCCCACAGCUGGGCAGUAGUCCAGGUGAAACUACACAUGACCCCACAGCUGGGCAGUCGUCAAGGUGUGACAAAACUUAGGCCUGUUGGACAUGUCUGGUCAACUGAGAUGACAAGGCAGAGCAACACCCUGUCAUGGACAGACCUCUUCCCAUUUUUAGCAACCAUUGAGUCGUUAUGUUUUGACGAUGAAAGCGUGCUAUCUAGGGUUACACCUAGCAGUCGUCUCCUCAAUUUGCUCAAUAGCCACAUUAUUCAACAAUAGGUGUAAGCAAGGUUUAGCGUUGAGCGAGUGAUUCGUCUCCAAAAUGAUGCUUUUCGUUGAGAUACUUAGCGGCAGCCUAUUGCUAGUUACCCAUUCUAAAAGUGACUGGAGCUCUCUGUUUUAGUUGACUGUUGAGUCGUCAGGGUACAUAGACCCAUUCUAAAAGUGACUGGAGCUCUGUUUUAGUUGACUGUUGAGUCGUCAGGGUACAUAGACCCAUUCUAAAAGUGACUGGAGCUCUGUUUUAGUUGACUGUUGAGUCGUCAGGGUACAUAGACCCAUUCUAAAAGUGACUGGAGCUCUGUUUUAGUUGACUGUUGAGUCGUCAGGGUACAUAGACCCAUUCUAAAAGUGACUGGAGCUCUCUGUUUUAGUUGACUGUUGAGUCGUCAGGGUACAUAGACCCAUUCUAAAAGUGACUGGAGCUCUGUUUUAGUUGACUGUUGAGUCGUCAGGGUACAUAGACCCAUUCUAAAAGUGACUGGAGCUCUCUGUUUUAGUUGACUGUUGAGUCGUCAGGGUACAUAGACCCAUUCUAAAAGUGACUGGAGCUCUCUGUUUUAGUUGACUGUUGAGUCGUCAGGGUACAUAGACCCAUUCUAAAAGUGACUGGAGCUCUGUUUUAGUUGACUGUUGAGUCGUCAGGGUACAUAGACCCAUUCUAAAAGUGACUGGAGCUCUCUGUUUUAGUUGACUGUUGAGUCGUCAGGGUACAUAGACCCAUUCUAAAAGUGACUGGAGCUCUGUUUUAGUUGACUGUUGAGUCGUCAGGGUACAUAGACCCAUUCUAAAAGUGACUGGAGCUCUGUUUUAGUUGACUGUUGAGUCGUCAGGGUACAUAGACCCAUUCUAAAAGUGACUGGAGCUCUGUUUUAGUUGACUGUUGAGUCGUCAGGGUACAUAGACCCAUUCUAAAAGUGACUGGAGCUCUGUUUUAGUUGACUGUUGAGUCGUCAGGGUACAUAGACCCAUUCUAAAAGUGACUGGAGCUCUCUGUUUUAGUUGACUGUUGAGUCGUCAGGGUACAUAGACCCAUUCUAAAAGUGACUGGAGCUCUGUUUUAGUUGACUGUUGAGUCGUCAGGGUACAUAGACCCAUUCUAAAAGUGACUGGAGCUCUCUGUUUUAGUUGACUGUUGAGUCGUCAGGGUACAUAGACCCAUUCUAAAAGUGACUGGAGCUCUCUGUUUUAGUUGACUGUUGUGUCGUCAGGGUACAUAGACCCAUUCUAAAAGUGACUGGAGCUCUGUUUUAGUUGACUGUUGAGUCGUCAGGGUACAUAGACCCAUUCUAAAAGUGACUGGAGCUCUGUUUUAGUUGACUGUUGAGUCGUCAGGGUACAUAGACCCAUUCUAAAAGUGACUGGAGCUCUGUUUUAGUUGACUGUUGAGUCGUCAGGGUACAUAGACCCAUUCUAAAAGUGAC